GCCGCAUUCAGCCAGUACGGCCACGUCUUUCAGCCAACUCGCUGCUUUUCGACGCUUCUACCGCGCGAAAACAAAGAAAAAAUCUCAAAUUCGACCACUGAGAACGUUUGAAGUGAUUACACGAAAGAGUGACGCUCUACUCCUUGAAAACUGACGGUUUGUGCGAAAAAAACAAAUGACAGGAAAAUGCGCGCCAAAACUGACAUUUCACAGUGCAUAGAUUAAAAUGAUUUAUGUUUUUUCCGACGCGCGUUUCCUGCGAGCGAUACACUGCAAGUGACGUGUCACGUGGUGUUUCGAUCUGUCAAAAUGUGACAGAGAUAGAAGAUAAAGGUGGUGGGGGGAGUUCGCGUGCUGCGUCGAUCGCUCGUUCGCGGAAGACCUAAUGAAGAUCUUAAUUGGCGCGCGUGUGUUCACGCCCUUAUCGCUGCCAGUACGAAGAACUUAGUAUCGGGGGCCAUUAAAAAUAUCAAUGACACAUUCGAGGUCGAGGGCUUCAGUCUAAAAUGGAUGGGAAAAGGACCGGGACUCAUCAUCGUUAGCCAACGUGACAGCAUUGGGAAUGCAGAACGAACGCGAUCCUCGAGUUGUUUCUUCAGCUGCCAGCGAUUUUAAGGAGUCGAAUGUGUAGUUGUGAACUGAUUGCCAAGUUUUGAUUAUCAAUAGGUACUCGCAUUUCUCAUCAACCUAUAAUUGUCCUGAAAGGACAUCUAUAUUUAGAACAUGUUUAUAAGUAUACUGUAUUCUAAUAAAGAAUUUGUUACUCGUACAACAUCCUUAGCAUACAUAAGGAGUUUAGGUCAUUCCACUGUCACUUGCAAUAGCUUUCUCCAAUACAGUCACUAGCCGCUGUCUGUGCCUUCUUCUUUUAACAGUUCUUUUGUACCACUUGAGACAUAAUAAAUACUUCAUUCAAUAUUUGUUAUUUAUACUAAGUUGAUCCUCAAAAUGAACAGAAUUAAUUUAAGUGUCUUGUAAAAGACAUUAAACAAGCCUAUACUUGAGUCAAAUUUGCGUCUAGACUAAACAAAUUAGCCAAGAUACUCCGUGACCGAAAUAUAAUCUAGAUCUUGUUAAUCAUCCUACUAAGAGGAAUUUUAGAGUCCUUAGUGAGAAGUUAAAUAAACCUUAUGAAAGCAUAUUAAAAAAAGUAUUUUUAUUCAGACUUUUUGUACAUCAUGGCCGCUUACAAACAAGGCUACAUUUUUUCAGGAAAUAAAUUAAAAAUUUCGCCAGCUUAGAAACCGAAGUCCUGACACAGGUUGCGAAUUAAUGCAAUUAGUUAAUUUAGCUGCAAUUCCGUUGCGCCGCAAUUGCAUAAAUACUAUACACACAGCUCAAAAAGUAGAGCCAUUUCAUUCUAAGCAAAUACAAAUCAUGCAUACGAGUACCUAUUCAGAAAAAGAACUUAUUGUCUUCGCCUCGCGAUGUCAUCAUCCUUGAUGACUGGUUGGUUAUGUUAUGUUUUGUAUUACUCCAAUACAGAUAGAUUUUUGCAAUGGAGUUAGUUAAUAUUGAUUUCCACAAGUUGAGUAUCGAUAAUACAAAUCUAAGUAACAACAAACCAUCCAUGUUCUUACAUGAUCCUUCGUUUAGAUGUUGGUAGCUGUAUUUUUUAAUAAUUACCAGUUCAUUUUCAGGAAAUUUAUCCAGCAGAUUGUAAUUCCACCACAUACUGAGCCCAAAAGCAAAGCAGCAACAUUAUGCUUGCUGUUUUAUUUAGUCUUUGGCCACGAAUACUUUUUACUAACACCCAAUUAAUGCAAUAAAGUCGUUUCAAUCGUAGUGUGGUGACCAAUGAAACGUGAAGUCCUAUAACGGCUCUAUGGCCAUUUAAAGCGCCUAGGAAAUAACUGAUAUUUACUUACGAGGAUGCCAUGUCUGGAUUGCAAAAACUUGUUACGUAUAAUUUGUGUUUGUAGGUAUAAAUAACAUGUCUUAAUUCUCAAUGGGAUGACAUAAUUUUAAGAUUCAAGUGACAUGAGAUAUUGGUUUCUACAAGACUUUAUUUGAAAAAAUAUUUUUGGGCUGCCAACGUCAUUAUAAUCAAACUGUGUAAACCGAAGGCCUACCUAUCUGAAAAUUGUAACAACAAAACUUAUCCUACUUUUUUCUAUUUUUUUAUGGAUAACAAUGCAGGUAUUAGACCUCAAUCGCACCUGGUGUUAAGUGAGAUGCAGUCUAGGAUGGUACAUUCUGCCCUGUA